rnacentral:ncRNA from 1 species
AGGCUGCGAAAGCGUUUUUCGCCGUCUUUACCUCCCUGUUGGACUGGCCGGGCUUUUAGCCCGGCCUUUUUU